AAGUCGUAACAAGGUUUCCGUAGGUGAACCUGCGGAAGGAUCAUUAUUGUAGGGACUCCGGUCCCCUCAAGAUGCAACCCGUGCCUUUUUUGUAGCCCGUAACGCUUCCUCGGCAGCCCCGCUGCCAGCGAGGACCCCCCAACCCAAACCAUCGCAAUCUCAGUAAAAAAUUCAGAAACCCCCAAAAUUUAAAA
rnacentral:misc_RNA from 1 species